GCCUCAGUUCUGAGCAGUAUGGAAUCUCAGUCAGACUGUGUGGAAGCAUGUUGUUUAGGAAGAAGUUGAUUUUUACCCAGUAAAGCUCUUCUUCUCUAAAACUCUGCAUUCUUAAUUUGCGCUGGGCGCCACUGGCCCUGUUUCCUGGCUUGGUGGCCGUGAAGGCAAGAACCACCAGAGCAGUUUUGGCCAACACAGAAGAAACGGCGAGAGAGAAGAUGGUUCCAAAAGCCGUUUGUGGGAGGCAACAGGUGAGGAAGAGGAAGGAGCAGAGGAAGCAGAGCAGGAGGAAGAUGAGGUAGGUGAGUCUCGGUUGUUGGCUUUGACGAUUGGCGUCUCGGUGUUUAAUGAAGAUCGCCAGCACAGAGAUGUGAGGAGAAAGAGGGAGAAGGCAAGAGAAGCGCAAGCAAAGCCGAGAUUAUCUUCAUAAGAAAGGAAGUUGACGUUCUUGGGGAUACUAGACUGGUUUGGGUGUUGAUCGUCUGGGCACUUUGUGCAGUGAGUGGCACCUGGAAUGAGCAAAACAACUGCUUAGAGAUCUGUUCCUUUUAGGGUGGAGACAGAAGGAUCCAUUCUCCAUAUACAGGAGGCAUGUGAGAAAUGGGCCGUGCCAAGGGGAAUUCACGUAACAUUAACACAGUGUGAGCUUUGAGAGAGAUGCAUUUCAACAGCAGAGCUGUGUAGAAAAUGUUCCAGUACACCGGGGUAUUCACUCUCCAUCUUCCCUGACAAUGGGCCACGUUAGCUGAGGCAUUUUUGGCAUUAUUUCCAGCUCUCCUACUCCACUCUUGAUUCUCAAAACAACCUCAUGAGGUAGCUCAGAAGAGAGAGAGAUUGGCCCAUAGCUGCCCAGUGAGGAGCCGCGUGAUGGAGUGGAGAGUUGAAUCAGGGUCUCCCAUGCGCUUGGUGGCCCUCACUACAUAUGGCUCCCCCCGCCAAGACCCCUGGGAGCUGUCCUUCAUGGAUAUGCAACUCCCAUUGCCCUCCCCUUGUUGAAAUCGGUUGGAGAAAGUCAUCCGCUUUAAAGGAAUAGUGGUGAUGUGACCCUAAUUGAGCCAAUUCCAUACCAAAUGCAACCUCCUGCUCUGAAGGCAUGCAAGAACUCAAUCAAAAUGGCCAAAUUUUUUAUUCAUUCUUAAAAUUGAGGUGGUGCUCCGUUUCAGCAUGCCACUCCUGCUCUGUUUGGGAGGCACGAGUGGGAUGCAGAAGAGCAACACUCCCGAUGAGCCAUUGCUCUGAAGGUCAGAAGAUUCCAGGAGGAAGGAGGAGGAGUCCUGGGCUGCUUACACAGGCUAACUGGCCACAGCAGCUGAGCCACACAGGUUGACUCCUCUUUGCGUCCGGAUGUAGCCAUUCGCGCCCCAGUAAGGUCCCCAACUGUGGAAGGAAGGGAGAGGAUCUCUUUAAGAUGUUGCUUCAAGGUGGGUGGCAGGAGAGUGAGAUGAGUCUAAGUGUAGCCAGAGGAAGUGCUGCAGCUUUGCGUUCGUUGCCAGCAUCUCCCGGUAGGACCGGGAUACAUCACCCGCCUGAUAGCCCAACCUUUUCUGGCCCCACUGAUUCCCACGUUACCUGUUCUUUAUGAUCCAGUACGGAGUCCCGUUCUCAGACCCAUAGCCAACAGCCAGCAUGGCAUGGUUCAUUUCCACCCCGACCUGAACCAGCAGUUGGUACUUCUGGGAGGCUGGGGGAGAAGCUUGUCAUCUUUGCUCUCCUAGACAUUUGUAUCCUCUGGAGUAAGGAUAUGGGAGCCAGCUGUGUGUCAUGCAGCCCUCCCCCCUGAACUGUGAUGGUGGUGAUGAUGAAUAACAUUUGUACACUGCCUUAUACCCACAGGACUCAGGGUGGCUCGCAGCAGAAAAAUACAUUAUAAACAAACCACAAAGUUCAUAAUAAAAACAAAACAAACCAAUAACUUCCCCCCCCCCCCAUAAUCAGCCCAAGACCUGGAUGACAAGGAAGGUUUUUUCCUGGCACCUAAAAUAUAUAUAAUGAAGGCACCAGACAAACCUCUCUGGGGAGAGCAUUCCACAAAUGGGGAGCCACCGCAGAAAAGGCCUGUUCUUGUGUUGCCACCCUCUGGACCUCACAUGGAGGCGGCACAUGAAGAAGGGCCUCAGAAGAUGAUCUCACUUGCUCUGCAUUUUGUAUUUCCAAUGAUCUUUGGACAGGAGUUUCUGGGAAUGGUGCUGCUGCAUUCAGGCUACCCAUUUGGGCAUCUGAUUAGACCAAUAAUAAUAAUAAUAAUGCAUCUUACUUGAGCAGUAAAACUGGAAAUAAGAAGCAUCCAAACAAACAGUCACUGGACCAACUGGACCCACAGCUUGUUCAGGGACCCGUCAUCAUUGCUUGGAAGAUUUACAUAGCUAUUGAUCCUGAACGCUCGGUCGGACAAUUUGAACACACAGCUCCCAUCCUGCAAAGAAAUGGUGACCAAUAUUUACAUUUCCAAUGUAAAUAUUUACAUUUUCUAUGCAAAGGCAAGAAUAAUUCUUUUUUAAAACGAAAGCCCCAAGACCUAUUUAUUUAACAAAAUAUUUUCUUUGGACAACAGCAGAAUGCCGUACUCUUCAUUUCAACAACAACAACAACAACAACAACAAAUUUAUAACAUGUUGGAAGCCACUCUGGGUAUAUAUAAAAAGAUAAUAAAACAUUAAAAAUAAUGAAACAUUAAACAUUUAAAAAACCUUCCAUAUACAAGGCUUGGGGGUUGCAUAACUCCAUACCCUCCAACAUUUCUCUGAAGAAAAAAGGGAAAGCAGGACAUUCUGGGAUCAGAUCUGAAACUGGGACGGCUUCUGUAAAUCUGGGACUGUCUCUGGAAAAUAGGGGCAGUUGGGUGGUUUGCAAUUUGCGGUGCAUUAUACAUUUGAAUUUGACAGGGUUGGUUGCAAAUGAUGACCUUAUAAAGCUUGCUUUUACUUUAUCCCAACACGUUGCACCUGUCAGGGGCUGGACUGAGGAGGAAUGGUGGGGGCCUGAACCUUCCUGAGAACAGGAGGACAGUAUCGAUUUAGAACAGUGGUUUGCAGAAGGCCAUAGUUCAGAGGCUGCAGAAGGGAGAAGCUGGGAAAUAUUGGGAGAGGAACAGCAGGAAGAAGAAGAAGCACCAGGGGACAGACAGCUGACAGACUCAGUGUCCUUGAAAGCACUCCUGACCCCCAGGACCAGACGGACAUUGGGAGUAGUGGAACAGAGAGCUCAGAGGCAGAAGGCUCAGAUUAGCCAAUGCCAGGGUGGCAUAAAAUAGGAGACGGCCUUUAUUUAGAGCUCCUUUAUUUGGAGCAAUGCCAUUAUUUCAGGGAGACUGCAUUCCUUCAUAUCUCUGAAAAUAGGGGGUCAGCAGCAAAAGCUGCACCGAGAUCUCUUGUUGGGUAAAAUACUAGGGACUGAUAUUUAGAAGGAUAACCCAGAGAUAACCUCAAGGGUUCAACAAACAAGCAGACGGUGACCCAGCUGCGGUCUCGAAAAUCUGUUUUCUUCCGAGAAACAUGCAGAGGGAAUCCAGCACGGUAGCCUGUGAUUAUUUUUCUCCCUUAGAAUUAUGCAGAAAAUGGAGCGGCAGUUCUCGCAGAACCCCUGAGGGUUUUCAGACGCUACCUCUCAAGCGAAUAACAAAUAUUGCCAGGACAACAUAAAAAAUCCCACCUAUCUUCAAGGGAAAGCAUGUACACUCAGGAAGGUAUAAACAAGGCACCCAGGUCUCUUUGGAGAUGGGCAGGAUGCUAGUCCUUAAGACCUGAAGCCCCUCCUGGACCCUGCAAAAUGAAUCCUGCACUCUGAGGCUUCUUGCAAACUUCCAACUGCCCACUCUUGGAAGAGAAGUCUCUCUCUGAUGAUGAUGAUUUGGCUGCUGCUGUUAUUUUGGCCCCUGACUCAGGUGAUCCUGAUGGCGCUGAGACCCACCUGUGACCUGACCAGACCAUUCCCAGUCCAGGAAGAUUAUUAUAUGCCAGGGGACCUGAUUGUGGACCCCCCAAUUUACCAUCAUCCAUCACCAUCGUCCUCAUGUUUCCCUUAGAGGAAUCUCCCAUCAACCGGGAAUCUUUCUCAGUAAGUCUUCCUUUGUCAUUUGUGUCAAGGGGCUUUCCUGGAGAAAGAUGUAGUCAAUCAUAGAAUCAGAGGGUUGGAAGAGACCCCAGGGAUCAUCUAGUCCAACCCCCUGCAAUGCAGGUGGCCCUCCAACCUCUGCUUAAAAACCUCCCAGGAAGGAGAGCCCACCAACUCCUUAUUUGGACACGUUUCCUGGGAAAGGAAAUGCAGCAGGGCUAAGGCCAAAAUUCCAUGCCUUUGUCACUCCAAAAAAUACUCUUGCACUUAUCUUGCACAUAAAAUCAUAAAAUUGUAGAGUUAGAAGGGACCCUGGGGAUCAUCUAGUCCUGCCCCCUGCAAUGCGGGAACCCUGCCUUCUUGGUAGUGGCUCCCUCCCUGUGGAACGCCCUCCCUUCAGAUGUCAAGGAGAUAAGAACGACAUAACUUUUAGAAGACCUCUGAAGGCAGCCCUGUAACGACAUUUCUGAUGCUUGAUAUUUUACUAUGCUAUACAUAUGCUGCAAGCUGCCCAGAGUUGCUGGGGAAACCCAGCCAGCUGGGCAGAGUAUAAAUAAUAAAAUUAUUAUUAUUAUUUAACCUGGGGCUUGAACCGACGACCCUGAGAUUAAAGCAUAUAUCUCUUCAAAUCAUUCCCAAAUGCCUAUCAUGUAGAAGAGGGCAAAGAACGGGUCUCCAUUGUCCAUCAUGAUCCCAACCCUGUAUACAACUAAGAAUACUGCAAAAAGCAAAAAUGCUACAUUUGUAUAAUAAUAAUAAUACUCCAAACCCCUCUUUGAGCAAUGUCUUUUAUCGGGACGGGGUGGGGGGGGAAUUGAAAUCAGAUGCAAAUGUAGCACAGUUAUCCUUUGAGACUUCUUUGAUUUCUGUAUUGUGUGCCAGUAGAGAGCGACUACGCAAGCAUGGCGCACGAGGUCAGCCUCUCUCUCCUCUCCACAUGGAGGAACAUGUUUCCUAACUAUAAAUGCAGCAGGGGGGAUGAGCUGCUCUCCGUCAUUGGGGGCCUCAACACAAGAAUCUCAAAGCCGAUGGCACACAUCUUGACAAACUUCAAGGUUCCUCAGGUACCUUAUUGUUUCCAUGGGGGGGUGUUAACUUGGGUGGGUAUUGUUUAAUUUGGUUGGUGGGGUUGCUUUAAAUUGCUUUUUAUCAUAGAAGCAUAGAGUUGGAAGGGACCCUGCAGAUCAUCUAGUCCAACCCUCUGCAAGGCAGGAAUAUGCAGCUGUCCCUUACGGGGAUCGAUCCUGCAACUUUUUUUAAAAAUAUAUAUAUUUUUAUUGGUUUUAAAAUACAAAAUUAUAAAACAUACCACACAAUUUAUCACAAAUACAUUCUUAUUGGACUUCCAUCAGCACCUCUGAUAAUCCUCCGUCUUACUCACUUCUUACGCAUUUCCUAACUUAAUAUUGCCUUUACUUUCUUAACAUAUCCCAUCCCCUUCUUCAUUUUUGCAAUAUUUCUAAUAUUAUUCCUCACAGAUCUUCUUGCAAACCUACAAAUGUCGUCUGGUCAUCGCAAAUACUUUUCAAAUAAUCCGUAAAUUUACUCCAGUCCUCGGUAAACUUCUGGUCCCGCCGGUUUCGGAUCCUUCCCGUUAGUUUAUCAAGUUCCGCAUAGUCCAUUAAUUUCAUCCUCCAUUCUUCCAUCGUUGGUAAUUCUUCUUGCUUCCAUUUUUGGGCCAAUAGUAUUCUUGCUGCUGUUACUGCAUAUAGAAAACGCUUACAUUCCUUUUUAUUUACGGUAUAUCGUUUCCAACAAUACCCAAGAGAAAUGCUUCUGGUUUCUUUAUAAAUGUAUAUUUCAACAUUUUUUUCAAUUCAUUAUACAUCAUCUCCCAGAAGCAUUUCACCUUUUUACAUUCCCACCACAUGUGAUAAAAUGUUCCCUCUUUUUCCUUACAUUUCCAACAUUUGUUACUUACUCCUGCAACUUGUGGUGUUAUCAGCACCACACUGUUAAACUUGGAUUUAUGAAUUUGUAUUUGUAGGGGCUUUUGUUGAGGAGUGUAUUUUUUAUUAGUUUGAAGACAUUAAUAUUAAUUUUUGCUACUUUAAUUAUUUUUAUGAUGUAUGUUGUGCUUUUAUGUUGCAGCUUUGUGUUGUGAACAUGCCCUGAGACCUACGUUUACAGGGCAGUAUAAUAAUAAUAAUAAUAAUAAUAAUAAUAAUAAUGCCAACUGCACACAAGACCCAUCAGCAGGAAAGGGCAUCUAAAUGCACAGCUGCAUACAAUUGAUUUAAAACCAAUGAAAAACCAAUAGUGGGGAUUUUGGUAUGAGAUACUGAAAACUGGCAGCUGCUCUCCUUGCUUUCAGGAAGGGAGCGUUUUGCAACGAGAGCUAGAGAAGCUGGGGACUGUCUGCAUGCAACCAGUUGCUCCAGCCCUGAGCUCUGUUGCUUCCUUCCCUUUCCACAUUCCAACUUCUCAAUAUCCUCUCUGUGUUCUUUCAUCUCAACCGUUCCUAAAAUUUGAUCCACUUCUGGUUCUUCAGUUAGGUUUCCUGUCCUUUGACUCCAUUCUGAGUGACCCAGUCAACUCCCCAAGCUUCUACCACACCGACCCUGAACACCACAUGCAGAACAUGGCGUUGUUCUCCCUCCUCCUCUACUUCCAGUGGAACUGGGUUGGGAUCAUUGUUCUGAAAAGUGACUGAAGUGACAAUUUCAUCCAGAGCCUGAAAGCAUUAUUUGCCCAGAAUGACAUCUGUGCAGAUUUUGAAAGGAAGAUCCUUCAACGGUUCUCUGUAUUCAAUGACACUGCAGAAGAUCAGGUUGCACUAAUCUUGACAGUUUUUGAGAGCAAGGCCCAGGUUGUGAUCGCUGCAGGGGUCACCAAUAUCAUUUUCUGUCUACAAGGAACACACCAACACUACAUUUGGGAAGGUCUGGAUCCUGACAACCGAGUGCGAACUCGCUGCAGUUGGGUAUCAUUAUGCGUG
rnacentral:lncRNA from 1 species